rnacentral:rRNA from 1 species
CCUACGGGAGGCAGCAGUGGGGAAUAUUGCACAAUGGGGGGAACCCUGAUGCAGCGACGCCGCGUGAGUGAAGAAGGAUUUCGGUAUGUAAAGCUCUAUCAGCAGGGAAGAAAAUGACGGUACCUGACUAAGAAGCCCCGGCUAACUACGUGCCAGCAGCCGCGGUAAUACGUAGGGGGCAAGCGUUAUCCGGAUUUACUGGAUGUAAAGGGAGCGCAGACGGCUGUGCAAGUCUGGAGUGAAAGGCGGGGGCUCAACCCCAGGACUGCUCUGGAAACUGUAAAGCUGGAGUGUAGGAGAGGUAGGUGGAAUUCCUGGUGUAGCGGUGAAAUGCGUAGAGAUCAGGAGGAACACCAGUGGCGAAGGCGACCUACUGGACGGCAACUGACGCUGAGGCGCGAAAGCGUGGGGAGCAAACAGGAUUAGAUACCCCUGUAGUC